AGGGGACCGGGGCGGCUGCUGCGCCUCGCCUCCCUGUGCAGCUCUAGGCAGGUGCCUGUUUAGAGUCUCUCUACACUGGGCCCAGGCCGCCGCCAGGUCUCUGUACAGCGCCAGGCAGCCGCCCGGCUGAUACUGGCUGGCUGCUAUCAUAACCUGAACAACCUUUAAAACAAACAAUUUAUACUGAAGGUUGGCUGUCAUAAUUAACAGGGAUGUUCUUGAACUCUGCAUCACCCAAGCACUCUGAAGUUAAUAAUCCUUCCUAAAGGUUUAUCGCAGUUUACAUCGUGUCACAAGAAAUUGACCAGUAUGACUCCAAACGUUGUCUUCAAAACACAAUUUCAACAUUUCGGUAAAAUCCGUUUGAAUAAAUGUUAUUGUCCAGCAGAGGACGCUGUUUGGUUACGGAUGCAAUUUUCUCUGUUUAUAUGCAAUGACUGAUACAAUUGAGUGUACUUUGAAAUCCCCUUCCAGACAUUAUUUUAUUUUAGGCUCAUUAGUGUGAAAUUCCAUUUUAAAUAGCAUAGCCUGACUCUGAAAACUUCACUGACAGCAUAAAUUCCUGCUCAGCUGUAUUAAGCAAAACACUCAAGUUUAAAUUCCAGAGACGCGUUGUGUCUUUUGACUGGUUGCUACCUGUAUUUUACAACAUAAUGGUAUCUUUGGGGUAAUAUAACUGCUAUCCCUGGGGGCUCUCAUGAAAAUGAGAUGUACAUCUCAUGAGGCUGUUUCUGUGACUGCACCCCCUCCAAAAUAAAUAAGAAUAUGCUACAAAUAAUCAUACUUAGCAGUUUUUAUUUUCAAAAGAACUAAACAAACAUUAACAAAUUGGUCCUCAUACCACCAUAGGAGGUGAAUAUUUUUUUAUCUCCAUGUCACAGAUUGGGGGAAAGUGAGGGAGAGAGGU